rnacentral:lncRNA from 1 species
CAAAUUAAUUAUGCAACUGUAGAGAAUAAGCUAUUAGCAGUGGUUUAUGCCUUUAGCAAAUUCAGGUCGUAUCUUGUUAGCUCCAAAGUCAUAGUUUACACAUAUCACACCACACUAAAGUACUUGAUGAUAAAGAAGACAUCAAACCGAGAUUGAUCCAGUGGGUUUUACUGCUACAAGAGUUUGACAUAGAAAUCAGGGAUAAAAAGGGUAGCGAAAAUGUUGUGGUAGAUCACUUAUCUCGAGUUGACAUAGAAAUCAGGGAUAAAAAGGGCAGCGAAAAUGUUGUGGUAGAUCACUUAUCUCGAGUGAAGCUUGCAGAACCUGAAAGGUCAGUACACAUUAACGAGAUCUUCCCAAAUGAGCAGAUAUUCGGUGUGGAAGGAGCACCGUGGUACAUUGAUAUUGUCAAUUAUUUGGUCAAAUUCAUCUUUCCACCAGAUUACUCUAGUCACCAGAGGAAGAAAUUCUUUACAGAGUUAAAAUAUUAGUUCUAGGAGGAUGCUAUUCUCUACGAGCGAGGGGCAGAUCAGAUUAUUCGACGGUGUGUGCCUAAAGAAGAAGCGCCUUAAAUUAUGAAAUAUUGUCAUUCAUUUACAUAUACGGGGCACUUUAGAGCUUCAAAUACAGCACUCAAGGUUUUACAGUCGGGGUUCUACUAUCCUACAUUGUUCAGGGAUGCCUUUGAAUUUGUGAAGAGGUGUGAUAUAUGUCAACGCACUGGAAAUAUGUUAAAGAGGAA